GAGGUAAUAUCUCUGUGGUAGAGCGCGUGCUUAGCACGCAUGAGGUCCUGGGUUCAAUCCCCAGUACCUCA
rnacentral:tRNA from 1 species